rnacentral:rRNA from 1 species
GAUGAACGCUGGCGGCGUGCCUAAUACAUGCAAGUCGAGCGAAUGGAUUAAGAGCUUGCUCUUAUGAAGUUAGCGGCGGACGGGUGAGUAACACGUGGGUAACCUGCCCAUAAGACUAGGAUAACUCCGGGAAACCGGGGCUAAUACCGGAUAACAUUUUGAACCGCAUGGUUCGAAAUUGAAAGGCGGCUUCGGCUGUCACUUAUGGAUGUACCCGCGUCGCAUUAGCUAGUUGGUGAGGUAACGGCGCGCCAAGGCAACGAUGCGUAGCCGACCUGAGCGGGUGAUCGGCCACACUGGGACUGAGACACGGCCCAGACUCCUACGGGAGGCAGCAGUAGGGAAUCUUCCGCAAUGGACGAAAGUCUGACGGAGCAACGCCGCGUGAGUGAUGGAGGCUUUCGGGUCGUAAAACUCUGUUGUUAGGGAAGAACAAGUGCUAGUUGAAUAAGCUGGCACCUUGACGGUACCUAACCAGAAAGCCACGGCUAACUACGUGCCAGCCGCCGCCGUAA